rnacentral:rRNA from 1 species
AUUGAACGCUGGCGGCAUGCCUUACACAUGCAAGUCGAACGGCAGCAUGAUCUAGCUUGCUAGAUUGAUGGCGAGUGGCGAACGGGUGAGUAAUACAUCGGAACGUGCCCUGUAGUGGGGGAUAACUAGUCGAAAGAUUAGCUAAUACCGCAUACGACCUGAGGGUGAAAGUGGGGGACCGCAAGGCCUCAUGCUAUAGGAGCGGCCGAUGUCUGAUUAGCUAGUUGGUGAGGUAAAGGCUCACCAAGGCGACGAUCAGUAGCUGGUCUGAGAGGACGAUCAGCCACACUGGGACUGAGACACGGCCCAGACUCCUACGGGAGGCAGCAGUGGGGAAUUUUGGACAAUGGGCGGAAGCCUGAUCCAGCAAUGCCGCGUGUGUGAAGAAGGCCUUCGGGUUGUAAAGCACUUUUGUCCGGAAAGAAAUGGCUCUGGUUAAUACCUGGGGUCGAUGACGGUACCGGAAGAAUAAGGACCGGCUAACUACGUG